GAGGAGUGCGGGAGCGCGCCAGAGACUGGCGGGCAGCUCCGCCCGCGGCCGGGAUGCACUAGGCAAAGCCAGCUGGGCUCCUGAGUCCGGUGGGUACUUGGAGAACUUAUUACGUCUAGCUGGAGGAUUGUAAAUGCACCAAUCAGCAUGCUGUGUCUAGCUCAAGAUUUUCUCCAUCCCCUUAUUUUGGGCCAGUGGCUGUCAUUACAUAUGAGAUGAGUCUCUUGAAGACUACAGAUGAGAGCAGUCAUGAUGGCCUGCACUCCACACAAUGCAACAGAGUGAAGGAGCAGGUUCUGGUUCUUUGGUGUAGUCCUGAAGCUUCCUAAGAAAGUUCACAUCAGGUGAUGGAUAGGAGCAACCCUGUAAAACCAGCCUUAGACUAUUUUUCAAACAGGCUGGUGAAUUACCAGAUCUCCGUCAAGUGCAGUAACCAGUUCAAGUUGGAAGUGUGUCUUUUGAAUGCAGAAAACAAAGUCGUGGACAACCAGGCUGGGACCCAGGGCCAGCUGAAGGUGCUGGGUGCCAACCUCUGGUGGCCGUACCUGAUGCACGAACACCCCGCCUACCUGUACUCGUGGGAGGAUGGUGAUUGCUCACACCAAAGCCUUGGACCCCUCCCAGCCUGUGACCUUUGUGACCAACUCCACCUACGCAGCAGACAAGGGGGCUCUGUAUGUGGAUGUGAUCCGUGUGAACAGCUACUACUCUUGGUAUCGCAACUACGGGCACCUGGAGUUGAUUCAGCUGCAGCUGCCCGCCCAGUUUGAGAAUUGGUGUAAGACAUCACAAUCCCAUUAUUCAGAGCGCGUAUGGAGUGGAAACGCUUAUAGGGUUUCACCAGGAUCCACCUCUGAUGUUCAGUGAAGAGUACCAGAAAAGUCUGCUAGAGCAGUACCAUCUGGGUCUGGAUCAAAAACGCAGAAAAUACGUGGUUGGAGAGCUCAUCUGGAAUUUUGCCGAUUUCAUGACUAACCAGUUUCUGCAGGCUGGAAAUCCAAGAUGAAGUCACCUAUAGUUCAGUGUCUGCGUCUAAGAGAGCACUUUGUUGCUGCACCCGCCAUGGGGAAGAAAUACUGUAUCUUCUCAUGAAGGAAGGAACCGAAGGUUUACAAGUAUUGUGGCUGAAGGCUGUGUCUAUUCCUGCUUCCUCCACCUCACCUUGCAAAAGUGUUUAUCCAAAUAAAUCCCUCACACAUCUAA
ensembl:lncRNA GUSBP2 GUSB pseudogene 2